CUCUCAGCUCUGUGAAGGGGGGGGUGGUUGUGCCAGCUCAUAGGGGUCCUGAGGCCUGGAAGCUUGGUGCCCACCAGGUUUGUGCCCAACAUGUGAGGGUUCAGUUCACACUCGCCCCGUUUUUAUUUCAACUGCUGUUUCUGCCUUUCUCCCCGGAGGCACCGCUGUCGUGAAUUUCAUAUGUGUUUAAUCUGUGGUUUUAUAGUUUUACUACCCGUGUUUAUAUCCAUAAUGAGUGUAUAGAGCUCAUGUGUUUUUUAAAGAGCUUAUUUAAACGGUGCCAUCUUUAGGUGUAUCGUUUAAGACACUGGCUUGCUCAGCAGUGUGUUUUUGCCGUCUGUGCGCGUUGGCGCCUGCGUAUCCAGCUGGUUCACUGCAGCCCUUGCAGCCAUUACCCUGGUGUGUAGCCCUCACCGGGGUGCGACUGGCAGUGCCUGUCUGGUCCGUGCGUGCAGUGCCCAGCAGCCGGAGUGUGUGCUUGGGUGUGGACUUGCUGGGUCACUCAUAUGCUUCCCUUCUGGAUAUCGUUUAUCCCAGCGUUACUGGAGCGUUGCUUCUCAAAUGUGUCCAGCAUUGCUUCUCAUGGGAAGUCUUACUGAGCCGGGAAACUGUGGUCCUUACUCCAGAUAANNNNNNAUCGCCGUGUGUGUGUCCAAGUGGACGGGUUAGUGGGACCCACUGAGUGCGUGCUGCAGAUGGGAGCAGAGGCACACGCCCAGGGUUUGCUUUAAUCAGGAAUCUGGAGGCUCCCACAUGGGAAUGAUAGCUGUGAAGGAGGACGUCUGUCCUGACAGACCCCCAGGAGCAGGAGGCUCUGCCUGGGGUCUGGGGAGUACCGAGGUCCGUCCGGAGGGAGAGAGAACAGAAGCCUGGUGGAGCCUCUCUGGGGUGCUGCAGGAAGGAGGGGGCAAGGCAGGGCAGCAGCCUGGGCCAGAGGGUGUGCUGGGCGCCUGCUGUGGGCCAUCUUGUUCGGGACCAGUCCAGACCGGAGGGCUCCUGCCGCCUGGAGGGCAGGAGCGGAGGGGGAGCUGGUUCCAGGUGCUGGGUUCGCCCAGGAGGGGCGGUCUCUCCAGGAUCAGCACAGCUCCCGAGGUGUCAGAGCACCACCAUGCAGAAGGUGGAAGACGUGGGCAACACGAGGGUCACGCGGCGAGAACUGUGCCCUGGGCUGGUGUGCCGAGACGGCGCACCCAGGCACCCCUCCCCGCUCAGGCCGGCAGCAGGGCCUUCAGAGGUGCCCCGUCAGGCUCCUCUCCGGAGGCCCUGAGUGCAGGGGUGCGAUCAGCCUGGGCAUCAGGACGUGCGUGGACUCCGGGUAAUGGACAGCAGCCCAGCCCAAGAAGCAGCGAUGUGGGAGCCAGGACUCUGAUCCCCGCUCGGUUCUCAGUGCCAGACGCAGGGCCCUGGAGGGGGCCACCAAAGCCGGAGGAGUCGCCCAGAGACUGGAGCCCCGGGGUCACAGCCAGGGACACCGUGUAGGUACCCGCGCAGCAAGAGAACCGACGUCCACCAAUCAGUUCCGUUGGUAAUUUCACAAUACUAGAACGGUGACAGUUGAGUAAAAUUUCUACAAUACAGGUGACUGUUCAAAAGAAUGGGAUUCCUUUGUGGGGGAUAACAUUUCACUUAAUAGAGGUGUGUUCUCACCAUUGAGUCAAAUGCACAUACUCGUCUCUGAGAGCCACACUUAGCUUACAAGCCACACGCAAUCAGGAGACGGGGCGGGUCUGGCCUGCAGGCCUUAAUGUNNNNNNNNNNNNNNNNNNNNNNNNNNNNNNNNNNNNNNNCGGAUGUCUGCAUAGUUGUGCUCCCAGGCCAGGGUUCUGCACUCAGGCCAGGCAGCGGUGCCUCCCCCAGUGGCCGUCAGACGAGGGAGGAACUGUGACCUCACUCCUUGGUCCUGUGACAUGCAGGCUGCCCUCCAGAGUGCAUCUCACAAGAAUGUGGGGGACCCGGGGGACCUCGGAUGAAGGUGGACGAGGAGCACCCAGUUUGCCGGCAGAUGGGAACAGUUUUCUGAAGUCUGUCUGCUCUCCACUGUGUGAUGAGGCGCGUGUUAGCAGAGUACCCCGGGCUGUUUGCUUCUUGACCAGCUAUGGAAGAGCCUCACCUUUAAGCAUGGGUGAACUAACCACCCAGAAAGCCACCGCCCCAGAUGGGCCAUUUCUGAGUUGACCCCGGCAGAUUUUCGAAGAUUGUUUGAUAAAAAAUGACACUCUGUCGUUAAAUUUCUCCUGCUUCUGAACUACAUUUUAUAAUCAAACUGCAGUCAAGGAGGAAACCCAGGUGACUCCCAUGAAGCCUCCCUGCCGCACUCACAACUGACCUGAUGCCCUCGGCCUCACCCUGGCCCUCACUCACCACACUCCACGUCCCUCUGAUGUCGAGUUUCUUAAAACUGCGACGCUCAGGGCCCUCGAGUCCUGUCCACUCGGAACACUCACCCUGCCACUUAGCGUGGCCGGCCCAUCCCUAUGGUCAAGUCAGCGUACGUGGCUCCUCAGCAGCUUUCCCUGUCAACCCUGCUGACACAGCCUCUUUCCCCUUCUCUCCACGGGGUAUUUCUUUCCCUUAGAGCCAGAGUGCAGGGCUUUUCCACUUCUCUUUCUGUGGGAAGCAUUUUAGGAUAGUCCUCAGCUCACAGGAAGCUUCACGCGGGCAGGGGCCCAGCCAUCCCAUCUCUGCCCUGUCCUCGGUCACCCCCACGGUGUGGGCACCCGGUGUCUUGGGAUGAACGGAAUGGGCUGACGGGCCUGCUGCAAGGUAGAAAUGGUCUCGUGGCGGAGGGCAGGGUGUUCACUGUCUGUUCGGCUCCAGAAGUUAAAAGUCACGGCAUCACAGGCUGUUCUCUGGCUCCCGGGGCCACCUGAGGUGUGGGUGAGCCCCCUCGGGGACACGGGAAGGGUGAGUUGGGGUCUCCUCCUGAAAGUUGUGUCACACAGCCUGACGAUCACGUGGGGCUGGAAGGCUGUUCGUCACAAGGACACCCUGUCUUCGGGGUGCCCAGCGCAGCCCCCUGAGCUUGCUCCAGCUCCGACCCUGAAGUCCGGGACGCGAAAGCGGCCGGAAGAGGAGCUGAGUUUUGCGGCGGGGGCCGUGCUUCCCAGCAGGGUGGUCGAGGGAGGCCUCACUGGGAAGGUGACCCUUGAGUAUUCAAGACUUUCUGUUUGCAGAAGUCCCCUGGGAGCUUCAGGGUGUAACUUCUGAAGCUUCUUACCUGUGAACCUGCAUACAGUCGCGAGGGGUCUUUCUUCUGCUCCGCGGAUUGUCUUGAACGCAGGAACGCGGAGCUCCUGAAGCCGAGCACUGGCUCACGCUCGGUGCAGCAGAGGGGAGCUGCCGGUCCGUCCGUUCCGAGCGCAGG
ensembl:lncRNA